AGAGUUUGAUCCUGGCUCAGAACGAACGCUGGCGGCAUGGCUAAGACAUGCAAGUCGUACGGAGUGGAAUGAGCUUGCUCGAUCCACUCAGUGGCGGACGGGAGAGUAAUGCAUGGGUAACGUACCCUGGACACGGGAAUAACCACGGGGCUUCGGCCUCUUUAGCGAAAGUGUGGCUAAUACCCGAUGAUGUCGCCUGAUCGCAUGGUCAGGCGCCCAAAGGUGGGGACCUUCGGGCCUGCCAGUCUGGGAUCGGCCCAUGUCUUAUCAGCUUGUUGGUAGGGUAAUGGCCUACCAAGGCUACGACGGGUAGCGGGCGUGAGAGCGUGACCCGCCUCAUCGGGACUGAGACACUGCCCGGACACCUACGGGUGGCUGCAGUAACGAAUAUUGGGCAAUGGGCGCAAGCCUGACCCAGCAAUGCCGCGUGCAGGAGGAAGCCUUUCGGGGUGUAAACUGCUGUCAGGGUUUAGCAAGCAAUGUAGGUUAAUAGCCUGCGGCGCUGAGCAGACCCAAAGGAAGCCUCGGCUAACUCUGUGCCAGCAGCCGCGGUAAGACAGAGGAGGCAAGCGUUGUUCGGAAUCACUGGGCUUAAAGCGGGUGUAGGCGGCUUGGUAAGUGUCCUGUGAAAGCCCACGGCUCAACCGUGGAAUUGCAGGGCAUACUGCCUGGCUUGAGGUUGGUAGAGGUGCCUGGAACUCUAGGUGGAGCGGUGAAAUGCGUAGAUAUCUAGAGGAACGCCAGAAGCGAAAGCGGGGCACUGGGCCAAUCCUGACGCUGAGACCCGAAAGCGUGGGGAGCAAACAGGAUUAGAUACCCUGGUAGUCCACGCCGUAAACGAUGCACACUAGGUGUCGGAGGCUCUGAUGCCCUCGGCGCCGAAGGAAAACUAAUAAGUGUGCCGCCUGGGGAGUACGGCCGCAAGGCUAAAACUCAAAGGAAUUGACGGGGGCUCACACAAGCGGUGGAGCAUGUGGCUUAAUUCGAAACAACGCGAAGAACCUUACCCAGGUUUGACAUGCUUGGAUGCUCUCCGGGGAUAACCCGGGGUAGCUGCCCUUCGGGGUGAAACUUGCACAGGUGUUGCACGGCUGUCGUCAGCUCGUGCUGUGAAGUGUCGGGUUAAGUCCCUUAACGAGCGAAACCCCUAUCGUUAGUUGCCAGCGGGUCAUGCCGGGGACUCUAGCGAGACUGCCGGCGUUAAGCCGGAGGAAGGUGGGGACGACGUCAAGUCAUCGUGGCCUUUAUGCCUGGGGAUGCACACGUGCUACAAUGGCCGCUACAGAGGGAAGCGAUACCGCGAGGUGGAGCAAAUCCCAAAAAAGCGGCCUCAGUUCGGAUUGGAGUCUGUAAUUCGACUCCAUGAAGUCGGAAUCGCUAGUAAUCGCGUAUCAGCUACGACGCGGUGAAUGUGUUCCUGAGCCUUGUACACACCGCCCGUCAAGUCAUGGAAGCUGGUAGCACCCGAAGUCCGCUUAGCUAACC
rnacentral:rRNA from 1 species